UGUUAAUCAUUUGAGCAAGGCCAUCGGAGACGCCCUCCCCUCUGCCAAUCUCCGUGAUGCUCUGACCUCAACUUCUCCCUCAGUUCCUACAAUCUUAUUUAGUUAACGGCGCUUUCUUUGAUCAGCGGAAGAGGUCUGCAAUCGCCCACCCCCAUUGGUUCCAUACCGUUAAAUCCGGACAAUGUCCAUCUCGGCGCGCCGGCCUUUUUCAUUCCCCGAAGCAUAUACUACGUACGUCCUCCAGACCGCACAUCUUGGCACCAACACCAACAGCUCGCUCUGCCUCGAUCUAUCCAUAGUGUCCAUACCUACUACGCAUGUAGUGAGCAAUGUCAAAGCGUCGAGGAUCUGGUCGUUCCUUUUGCUAUCAUAUUAUGCAGUGCGGUGCAGUGCACCAUACUGAUUGACAACGAUGGCCGUUAUAGAUAGAGUAAGCCCCUUUUCAGGCUAGCACAGCACCCCGAUGAUUUACGGCGGUCUAGUUAGUCUGCGGCAGCGCAUGACUAUUUUACAUUGUGAGACUAUCUACAAAAGAGAGAAGAUAUAAUGACACAUCGACAUGGGAUUCUAAGUUCGAAGAUUGAACCAUUGACGGUUGAAUCAUGCUUUUUUUUUUGUCUAUCAAGUCGAUUCGAGCGGGCGUCUGUCUGGCACCACCACCCUACGUACGUAGCACCAAAACCACCGAGCAAUGCAACCUUCAUGGCCCCUAGCGUACCGCAGAGAUGAGGGCGUUGUUGCAAAAGCGCCUAACCUUCUUUUUGAGUCUGUGAGAAUUUUAUGGUUCCAAACGUGCUCCUUACUUUAUUCGUCCUAUCAGGAGCGGCGAUGACUAUGUCUCUACUUUCUUCUGCUGUGGACAGUCGAACGGGUAGCUACCGAAAGAUUCGGAGAAAAAAAAAAUAGAAAAAGAAAGAAAAAGAAAAAGAGCUUUGUCCGGGUUUCGACAUAGCGUGGGCACGUCAACACAAUAUCAGCUGGGCUGUUUCUUUAUUUCACCUGAUCUCUUUGUUGAGCCACAAUGUUUAACCCAACUGGUAGCUUUUGAAAGGGUUGCCUUUUCCAUUCCACUUGGUCAGGUCAACCUGCAGACGGAUCUGGUUUUCCCUCCCUGUAUAAGAGGAGUCAUGCUCAAAAUACUCAAAAAUAGAGCGAUUGAUCCAUGAGUCGCCGAUGCUGCCGCCGUUCUUGCCGUUGUUUGCAAGUCAACCGGUUGAUAUCGAAAUAUUGAACGUCGCCGAAGCAUAGACCAGACAGACGUCUUUGACGUGCUACAAUCUGGUUGGAUGAUGGCUUGCAGCUGCAGGGAAAAUUUCCAAAUCAUCCCAUAGGAUCAAAAUCCCGCGAUAUGCCAGAGCAGGAAGUCUUAGUUGCUUGUCUGCGGCUCCAAAUGAGACAAGCUAGACGGUAGUCCAAGCAUCAGAUAAGAAAGACUCUGGAGUACUAACACAAGUCGCACGGAUGGACAGCCCCAAAAGACCGGUAAUGUACCCGCACUUCCUGCAGGGUUACGGCAUGGACGUGUAACCAGACAAGGCAGUUUUCUGGAUUCUCCAACGUCAAUGGGUGCCAAUGAAGCCAGGGUGAUCAAAAUAAUUGUUCAAUUCUUCAGAAACCGACCAAUCCAGUCUCGAAAAGGCCAAAGCGGCGACCUUUAAACGGCGACCUCUGCGAGUCAGUCAUACGAUUGAUAUUCCGGGAGGCAAACAAAGACCUUCGACAUACGUGCGUAACGCAAAAACUCGGAACUAUGUAUGGAUCCGCGAAAUGGCAUUGGACUCGCAGAGUCUAUUCGACGCCCUGACACGAGUUUCUUCCAAACUCAAAACUAAAGGAGGGGAGUGAAACGUUUGCCUAAUUUUGUACCACCAAACAGGAAAACUUUAAGAUUAUGGCAAUGUACACGCCACCUGUCUGUGUCACAGUCAACUCUCCGUGCCCGUACGAAAACAAUGAUAGGUGAAGAAAGACAACGAGGCAAAUAACGCCCAUCAUCCAUGUGUUUCUCAAUUUUAAGGGUUUCAGCGCGCAUAGACCAAGCAAUCAAGCUGACAGAACGGAACCAAGGAACAAAAGCAACCCACCCUUUCCACGGCGUCUACACUUCCCGGUGUCAAGUUGAACAAGACCAGGACAUGAACCCAAAGCUGGCAAAAUCUCCGUUUCGUCCAACCAAACCUCAAAUCCUCUUUAUACAUUUUGGGUCUGGUUCCGGGUUGUUUCAACGGAAACUUUCCUAGAGUAAAGGCUAAUGCUAGUACGUACCGGGUUCCUGAAAAGGGCUAGUUAAUAUAAGCCUUCCUCUCACUCUCUGUCUCUCUCUCUCUCUCUCACUCUCUCUCCCUCAGGACUGAUUACUAUCCAUGCACACCCGUCACCUAGACAGUGCAUACAUACAUGAUCUAAAUUUAUAGAUAGACGCCUUGAUAGUUCGUAACUGCGUAUAGAUGGAGAAAACAAAUCCCCGAAACAGGAAGAAUGCCCGGCCAAUGUGCUUUCAAAAUGAUCUUUCACUCAGGGCCAAUCGAGGGGGGUUGGUUGUCAGAUCUGGGAUUCUAGAAUAUGUUAGUCACAAGGCCAUAGGCCAAUUUCCGAUUUCUGAUUGAGAGUCUGGAUUUUUCUUUUCAGUUUAUACAGGAAUAUCCAUGUAUGUCCCGACAUAACUUUUUGGAGGAUCCGUGGAUAAGAAAAAGCCAAAAUCGAACCCGAAUGAAUUACCCAGUUAGGUAAUUACGGCGGAGAAACACGGUUGGGGGGUACAUACACACAGACAUACAGACAUACAUACAUACAACAUGUACAUGUAUAGGCAUGGGUAUGAGCAUGGGCAUGACGAGGCUGGGGUUUGUUAUGUCA
rnacentral:lncRNA from 1 species